GUCAAGGUCACUAUACCUGUGGAUCAAAUAUGUAAUACGUGUCUCUAUCCUACAGACGAACGAGAAAGUGACAAUCUCAAAAAUGAUGCGUAAUUAAAAUUUAUCUAGGAAGAACUUCGUCAUCGAAAACAUGACAUUUUGACUUUCGACGUUUACGUUCAAACAAAGCGACUCCCACUUUAUUUAUCCCCGUGUCAGCUGGUAUCAGCUGUCAGCGAUCUGUCACCCGUCAUAAUCGUCACAACACGAUCGACCAAUCGCGCGCAUGCGCCGAACGCGUGCGUGCGAUUGGUCCAUUAUAUCGCGAGUUGACCCUUAUUUUGUAUUUCGCGGCAUUCACAUAUUCUACAUCUGCCUCGAAUACACCGACCUCUCGGAACUAGUAAUCGAUCUCGAAAUGGUACGAUAUAUCGAUAUCGAUCCUGCAUCGAUCGACACCACGGCACUCGCCAUUUCUUGAAACAACGAUAGCGAGACAAUAGGACAACGUUGAUUCCCUGCGCCGAUAUACGACAAUAAUGUAAUUACAGAAGACGGAGGCUGGAGAAAUUCUCUGUGGUGUUAUACACGGAGAAGGAGCGAGAGAGAGAGAAAGAGAUGGAGAGAAGUCAGGAAGGCAGUUACCGAACUAACAUCCCUUAUAUUGAUCUUAUAGUCUUGCUCUUCUCUUUGUUUCGCCUUUAGUUUGCACGUGUUUCCCGUAUAUAUGUGCAUCUGCAAGAACGUCAAAGAAUCUCACGGAUCCCCGAGGAUAUAAAUAGAUAACUGGAGUUCGCGAAAGAGAAUUACUACCAUGAUUGCAGCCAAGGAAGUGCUUGAAUUAUUAAAGUGUUUGGGCUACACAUUUUAAUAAGCACGAGACGCCCCCGAGGAAUCGUUCGUUAUAAUUAUAAGGUAUAUAGCGCAUUAAAACUGCAAUGAAAGUUUAUGCGAUUCUCCAAGUAGCAAAAAUGUUUAAAACUCAUUUUUAAAUAUAUUUAAAAAACGUUAAA